CUCUAACCUCUUUUUUUUUUUUUUUCCUUCCCCUCCCCCAUGGGUUUCUGUUAAGUUUCUCAGAGAGUGACUUAAAAUCAAAGUCGGAAUCCCAAGUGGUCAGAGCUGGAUGGUUUCUUAAAACUAUUGUCUUAAGCCAUGUCUUCCCAUGCGUAUGGGGGCCCAGAUCGGCCGAGCCCUUGCAUGGCACCUCCCACCCCGAAGCCUGACUUAUGCUCUGCUCCAGGAUGCAGGGAGAGGUGCUCUGAGGUCAGACCUCCGGGCUGCAACACUGUUCUGCCCUGAGCCCCACUGUGACCUUGGGCACGCCACUUUCCCUCCACCUGCUGUCCGGGCCCACAUCUGUGAGACGCAAGUGGUAAUGACCCUUCCCACCUCAUGCACCGUUGUGAGGAGCGAGUGGAGCUGAGUGUGAAGAGCGGACAGUGGGGCCUGGUGUAUGGCAAGUGCUCUAGAAGUCUCUGGGUUGUGUGGCCUGCAUCUGCAUAACCAGGGGAGCUGCUCAGUGACACGCAAGCUUAGUAAGACUUAGUAAGACUGGCUUUGUUCUAAAACAACCUAAGCUGAAGAGCCCCACUUGGGGGGCAGAUGAUGCACUUUGUGGUCAGACCUCUCCGUUUCUGUGGCUUCCAACAAGGUCAUUCUUCUCGGAGACAGCCUUCCCCUUUGCACACAAAGAGGAAGUGAACAUUGUGCCUUGGCCCUUUUAUUUGCAAAGGAUCUGUUCUUACACAGGUCCCUGUACUUUGUGAUCUUGGGUUCCCCUCCAAACUUGAAAAAGCACACCUCCCCCAGACCUCACCAUCUGGCCCCCAGACAGUGACAUCUGUAAAGCUAGGCUGUCUCAGGAAAUCUCAUUGGUGAAAUGAAUUCAGAUAGGCUGGCUAGGAAUGCUGUCACCAGGACGGGAACGGGGCUGAAGAAGCCUGAACAAAGAAGAUUCCUAAAUGGUCUCCAUCCUCCUGAGCUGGGAGGGGGUUAAUGCUGGCCUAGUGCUUCCACUGCUCAUCUGGCCCCGGCAGUCCCCAAGGACUCCAGAGUGACCGGGAGGUGGACACAAAGGCAUUGUUGAGAUGGGGGGGGGGAGGGGAGAAAAUAAGUGAUCGUCACCUUGGAAAAAUGUAGACUCAUUAUCUGAGGGCCUUUAACACCAGCAACCAGUUUGCAGGCCUGGAGGAGGGGCGGGGCUGCAAUCCCUCUGGCGUGAAUGGGAGGGUCAGACAUCAGCCUUGGAAGAAGCAGAUGCCCCUUUCUGUAAACAGGGACUCCUGUGAAGAAGUUCACCUUCCUCUCCUCCAGCCUGCCUUUGGCUGCUGUUAGCUGAAGCGGACAGCUGGAGGAGAGAGGCCCCCGUGCUCUGGAGCGGUGGCCCCGAGGAGGCGGCCCAGCCACCAGGGCUACUUCAUUUGAUGGAAGAGGAACACCAGAGCCCGGUGUUGGGGGACGGAUGGAGGCUCAGGUCCUGGGUGAGGUGAGUAGGGGGUAGCCUCAACCCGGCUUUUUGGCAGGAAGCCUGAGUAACCAGAGAAUUAGCUCUGGGUUCUCUUCCUGGUCCUAAAUGGGCUCUUCUCCAGCUCUGAGCAACCCUCUAUCAGGAGUGAUGAGACCAAGGUCAUUGUUAACAAGUGUUUAUUGUUAAUAAAACCAUGGUACAUUUACAAUAAGUGACAACAUUAAUGUAUAGUUACAGUAUCAUACAAUAUUACAGCAAUAAAAUAACGCCUAUUCCUUUGUACAUCCAGCUCAAGCAGCUAGUCGAAAAUAUUUUCCAAGAUUGCAAGCCCCCAGGGGCUUUUCAAGGUAACCAAAGUAACACCUCCUUAAGUGCCCAGGGCUUUUGGUGAAUAAAUAGUUUCUAAGGUGCAGCCAGACAGCCUGAAGAAGGCUACACCCGGAGCAAGCUGUCCGGAAUGCUCCCCCAGUGUCUGGUCCAUAAAUAUGACAAGUGUCCAGCCCGAUGCUGCCCCUCCACCUAGGGAAGCCCGGGGCCUACAGCAGGCCCGGAGCAGGUAGGUGAGAAGCAGCAGGCCUUCUCCCGCCCCUUCCCUCCCACCACUGCCCCACCCUUUCUACCCCCAGGACCGCAGUUCCCAGUGAGAGGUGCCCCUCUCCAGCCCAAGUCGGAGGACUCAGCCAGGGGUACAUUUAGGGGUCUGCUUCCUGAGCCCACAGAGGCAGCCUAAAUCUAGGCUUGGGGUUUCAGAAUGGGCCCCUAAAAACAGCAGCAGCAUGGGCUGAGGCCCCCAGACUCCUCCAUGCCACCCUGCGCUUAGACUGAAAGCUCUGAAGGCAUCAGUUGGGGAACUGCUCUACCACUAACCGAGCAGGUUUGUGGUCCCCAAAGGAGGGCCUCUGUCGGCCUAGACACCAAAGAGAAUAGGACUGAGUGACCCUCUGUGCCCCCUGGAGGCUCACAUCAAGCCUUUGAAGGCACAGCCUUGAGGAAUAAGUUCAGGGAUUUGGACAGCCUUUCUGACGUGAUGUUGAGAAAAAAAUACCGCUUCUGCAUGAAGGGGCCUGAGGCCCAGAGUAUACAUUCUCUACAUUCAUCAGGAUGCCUGUACUUCCAGGAGUCCCAGCUGGGACCGUCCGAGCUUAUGGAGGUGUGGGGACUGCGGGUAGUUAGCUUCUGACCAUGCCUUCCAGGCCCUAUUUCAAGCGGGAAGAAUCAGGAUCAGCCAUAGAUCUCCAGGAGGGGAGCACAAGAGGGUGAGUACACGGCAGCCCUCAAGGUGCAAACGGUAUGGGGGUUGCAGGUGGGGGAAGGGCCACCUUUUGAACUUGUCUGCCCAUAACUAGUCAAGCAGACACAGCUUGGGGGCAGAGGGUUGAAGGUGGGGCUGCCCAGUGACAGGAGGGCUCAGAGCACAUCUACCUGUGCAAGGACAGAUCACCACCA